AUUGAACGCUGGCGGCAGGCCUAACACAUGCAAGUCGAGCGGAGCGGCGGACGGGUGAGUAAUGCCUAGGAAUCUGCCUGGUAGUAGGGGAUAACGUCCGGAAACGGGCGCUAAUACCGCAUACUAUCAGAUGAGCCUAGGUGGGCUUAGCUAGUUGGUGGGGGAAAGGCCUACCAAGGCGACGAUCCGUCACUGGUCUGAGAGGGUGAUCAGUCAGACUGGAACUGAGACACGGUCCAGACUCCUACGGGAGGCAGCAGUGGGGAAUAUUGGACAAUGGGGGAAGGCCUGAUCCAGCCAUGCGGGGUGUGUGAAGAAGGUCUUAGGAUUGGAAAGCACUUUAAGUUGGGAGGCGGUACCAACAGAAUAAGCACCGGCUAACUUCGUGCCAGCCGCCGCGGUAAUUC
rnacentral:rRNA from 1 species